rnacentral:rRNA from 1 species
GUGUCAGCAGCCGCGGUAAUACGUAGGUGGCAAGCGUUAUCCGGAAUUAUUGGGCGUAAAGGGAGCGUAGGCGGUCUUGCAAGUCUAUGGUUAAAAUUCGGGGCUUAACCCCGUCUUGCCAUAGAAACUGUAAGACUUGAGUACAGGAGAGGUUAGUGGAAUUCCAUGUGUAGCGGUAAAAUGCGUAGAUAUAUGGAGGAACACCAGUGGCGAAAGCGGCUAACUGGCCUGUAACUGACGCUAAGGCUCGAAAGCGUGGGGAGCAAAUAGGAUUAGAUACCCUAGUAGUCCACGCCGUAAACGAUGGAUACUAAGUGUUGGGAGAAUCUCAGUGCUGUAGUUAACGCAAUAAGUAUCCCGCCUGGGGAGUAUGCGCGCAAGCGUAAA